AGCUAAUACUUGCUUUAGCACUCUUGAUUUAUUUCUUGAGUGUGUACUUGUUAAGCCUUAUAAGAAAAGAGUUAUUAACUUAAGGAAUUAUAACAAAGAAGUAACACGUAAUGGAUUCUUCCAUUUUUUAGUGUGUAUCAAUCGAGUUUCUGACCUAUCAGCUUUUGAUGUUAGGGUAUUGGCCUAACAUGGCUAUGACGGGUAACGGGGAAUUAGAGUUCGAUUCCGGAGAGGGAGCCUGAGAAAUAGCUACCACAUCUAAGGAAGGCAGCAGGCGCGUAAAUUACCCAAUUCUAAAGAAGAGAGGUAGUGACAAGAAAUAACAAUACAAGGCCAAUCUGGCUUUGUAAUUGGAAUGAUGGGAAUUUAAAACCCUCCCAAAAUUCAAUUGGAGGGCAAGUCUGGUGCCAGCAGCCGCGGUAAUUCCAGCUCCAAUAGCGUAUAUUAAAAUUGUUGCAGUUAAAACGCUCGUAGUUGAAUUUCAAAGAAUCGAUAUUUUAAGUAACGCUUCUAGCUAUAAAUCCACAUAACUGAUGCCUCCGCGUAUCGACUUUGUGCGCAUUUUAGCUAUUAUGUGUUCUUUUAAUUAAAAUGAUUCUUUUUAAGAUUCAUCUAUUAAAAAUUUGCUUCGGCAUAAUUUUUUUUGAUGAUCUUGUUACUUUGAGUAAAUUAGAGUGUUCAAAGCAAACAGAUAUAGCAUUUGUGCGUUUGAAUACUACAGCAUGGAAUAACAAAAUUGAACAAGUCAGAAUUUUUUUGUUCUUUUUUCUUAUUUUGGCUUAGUUACGAUUAAUAGGAGUAGCUUGGGGGCAUUUGUAUUCAGAUGUCAGAGGUGAAAUUCUUAGAUUUUCUGGAGACAAACAACUGCGAAAGCAUUUGCCUAAAAUACUUCCAUUAAUCAAGAACGAAAGUUAAGGGAGUGAAGACGAUCAGAUACCGUCGUAAUCUUAACCAUAAACUAUGCCGACUAGGCUUUGGGUGAAAGAUUUUAAAAUAAGAGUUUU
rnacentral:rRNA from 1 species